GGUCGUCCGGGACCCGCCUCAAGCCUCGCAGGCUUUCACCCAGUUUCCUCCCGAUUCUUGCUGGGACAACAUAAUUGGGAAGCGGUUCUCGAAACAUACUCUCAAGGCGUAGUUGCAUUUGGUCGCCCAACUCACACUGAUGCCUAAGACCCAGCUGAUUAAAGUUACUGUACCAUGGCAGGCCAACGAACAUGUCAAAGGAGGAGCAGCAGAGCUGUCCCCAGGGUAAGGAAGCUUUCACAGCUUUAUGUUCACUUACAAAGGUUAUAUUUCUCUUGGAAUUUCAGGUAAUCAGGGCUCCCAGGUAGAGCUGGCUUUGUCACUGAAACACCAAGGGUUUGGUCUAGGUCUUAAUGCUCGCUGCACAGAUAGCCAAUCACGGAGAUGAGUAUUGCCAAGGAAGAAAGCUUUAAUAGGGUGCUGCAGCCGAGGAGAUGGGAGAUCAGUCUCAAAUCCAUCUCCCUGACUGACUAAAAUUGGGGUUUUAUAUAGCAAGGAAGAAGUGUAACCAUGUGUGGGAAAACGGAAAUUAGGGAGUGGUGGUAAGGAGG
rnacentral:sRNA from 1 species